GAUGAACGCUGGCGGCGUGCCUAAUACAUGCAAGUCGAGCGAACGGACGAGAAGCUUGCUUCUCUGAUGUUAGCGGCGGACGGGUGAGUAACACGUGGAUAACCUACCUAUAAGACUGGGAUAACUUCGGGAAACCGGAGCUAAUACCGGAUAAUAUUUUGAACCGCAUGGUUCAAAAGUGAAAGACGGUCUUGCUGUCACUUAUAGAUGGAUCCGCGCUGCAUUAGCUAGUUGGUAAGGUAACGGCUUACCAAGGCAACGAUGCAUAGCCGACCUGAGAGGGUGAUCGGCCACACUGGAACUGAGACACGGUCCAGACUCCUACGGGAGGCAGCAGUAGGGAAUCUUCCGCAAUGGGCGAAAGCCUGACGGAGCAACGCCGCGUGAGUGAUGAAGGUCUUCGGAUCGUAAAACUCUGUUAUUAGGGAAGAACAUAUGUGUAAGUAACUGUGCACAUCUUGACGGUACCUAAUCAGAAAGCCACGGCUAACUACGUGCCAGCAGCCGCGGUAAUACGUAGGUGGCAAGCGUUAUCCGGAAUUAUUGGGCGUAAAGCGCGCGUAGGCGGUUUUUUAAGUCUGAUGUGAAAGCCCACGGCUCAACCGUGGAGGGUCAUUGGAAACUGGAAAACUUGAGUGCAGAAGAGGAAAGUGGAAUUCCAUGUGUAGCGGUGAAAUGCGCAGAGAUAUGGAGGAACACCAGUGGCGAAGGCGACUCUCUGGUCUGUAACUGACGCUGAUGUGCGAAAGCGUGGGGAUCAAACAGGAUUAGAUACCCUGGUAGUCCACGCCGUAAACGAUGAGUGCUAAGUGUUAGGGGGUUUCCGCCCCUUAGUGCUGCAGCUAACGCAUUAAGCACUCCGCCUGGGGAGUACGACCGCAAGGUUGAAACUCAAAGGAAUUGACGGGGACCCGCACAAGCGGUGGAGCAUGUGGUUUAAUUCGAAGCAACGCGAAGAACCUUACCAAAUCUUGACAUCCUUUGACAACUCUAGAGAUAGAGCCUUCCCCUUCGGGGGACAAAGUGACAGGUGGUGCAUGGUUGUCGUCAGCUCGUGUCGUGAGAUGUUGGGUUAAGUCCCGCAACGAGCGCAACCCUUAAGCUUAGUUGCCAUCAUUAAGUUGGGCACUCUAAGUUGACUGCCGGUGACAAACCGGAGGAAGGUGGGGAUGACGUCAAAUCAUCAUGCCCCUUAUGAUUUGGGCUACACACGUGCUACAAUGGACAAUACAAAGGGCAGCGAAACCGCGAGGUCAAGCAAAUCCCAUAAAGUUGUUCUCAGUUCGGAUUGUAGUCUGCAACUCGACUACAUGAAGCUGGAAUCGCUAGUAAUCGUAGAUCAGCAUGCUACGGUGAAUACGUUCCCGGGUCU
rnacentral:rRNA from 1 species